CCAUCUCUGAGAUGUUCGCGAGAAGGGUUAGUCCCCUGAGCCGAUAUUCUUUAUUUUAGAACGGUGUGAUUUUUAAUUGGUGUGUAUGCCUUAUUUAUAAGGAAACCUAAAAAUUAAAACAUAUUGUUCACCUUGAACCUUGGGUUCAAGGGUUACAACCUUAACGACAUCUUGGAGUGUU
rnacentral:other from 1 species